rnacentral:rRNA from 1 species
UACGUAGGGGGGCAAGCGUUGUCCGGAAUCAUUGGGCGUAAAGCGCGUGUAGGCGGCCCGGUAAGUCCGCUGUGAAAGUCGGGGGGCUCAACCCUCGAAUGCCGGUGGAUACUGUCGGGCUUGAGUACGGGAGAGGCGAGUGGAAUUCCUGGUGUAGCGGUGAAAUGCGCAGAUAUCAGGAGGAACACCAAUGGCGAAGGCAGCUCGCUGGGACGUGACUGACGCUGAGACGCGAAAGCGUGGGGGAGCAAACAGG